rfam:Enterococcus casseliflavus EC20, complete genome.
AUAAACACAGCGAAUAGACGAAGUACUAGCCGAUUUUUUUCAGAGAGACCACGGAAGGUGAGAGUGGUCAAAAAAGGCUAGGAAAUGCACCUAGGAGUGGCUUUGGCGCAAGUCAAAGACGAAGCAGCGGACGUUACCCGCUUGAAGGCAGUGCCGAACUGCGAACAAAAGUGGGACCACGCAAAAAAGCGUCUUUUGA